AGGUGGAGUUGAAACAAGUUUACUAAUUCACAUAGUGACCUCAAUCAACAGGAUUCCAAGUAUUGCACAAGACAAACAGUUUGAUUAAAGCACACAUGAAGCACAAACUCAAGCACGCGAAAGCAUUAAGGUUAUCAGCUCCGGUGGUCGGAGAAAUGUCGGCAGCUCCAGGAUUUGACCUCCAUCACAACA